rnacentral:rRNA from 1 species
UACAGAGGGGGCGAGCGUUGUUCGGAAUUACUGGGCGUAAAGGGCGCGUAGGCGGCCCGCUAAGUCGAACGUGAAAUCCCCAGGCUCAACCUGGGAACUGCGUCCGAUACUGGCAGGCUUGAAUCCGGGAGAGGGAUGUGGAAUUCCAGGUGUAGCGGUGAAAUGCGUAGAUAUCUGGAGGAAUACCGGUGGCGAAGGCGGCAUCCUGGACCGACAUUGACGCUGAGGAGCGAAAGCUAGGGGAGCAAACGGG